UGGGGCCUGUAGCUCAGGUGGUUAGAGCGCACCCCUGAUAAGGGUGAGGUCGGACGUUCGAGUCGUCCCAGGCCCACCA
rnacentral:tRNA from 1 species